rnacentral:pre_miRNA from 1 species
AUCUCCUAGGGAAUAUUGUUAAAAUGCAGAUUCUGAUUCAGUGGGUCUGGGUUCAGACUGAGAUUCUGCAUUUGUAGCAAAUUACCAAGUGAUGGCUC